CUCACUUCUUGAAGCUUCUUCCGGCGCCAAGCCGGGAGGACGAUCUGGCGGCCAUCAGUGCAAUGCGAUUAAUGACAUGUACGUUUGUCACUGGAUUGUGUUUGUUGUGUCUCUCGCAGCUGGUAAGUCAUGCUCUCACUCUCUGCAAGCCCAGCGAGGUAACAUGGGAAGCCGACAGAAGCGUGUCUUUAGCCGGAACGAAAGAAGCCGUGAAAGAGAGAGCACGUGGAAGUAUGGGUGAUGAAGAUGCAACGGCCAUUAUGCAGUGCAGGCGCGUAUGAAGGCCGCUUUCGAAAGAUGAACAUCCAUCUUCGCGGCUGCGUGUGGACGGGCCCUUUUCCCGGCGGGUGUGGGUUUUCUGGCUCAGCAUGGAUGCCUUACACGCAGUACACCAGUGCUUAUCUUUUCGCCGAGCUCGUGUAAGCAGUCGGGUCAAAAUAGUGGUACUGAAGCCUGCUAGCUGACUGAAAUUGCGGUCUCGCAAGGUACACACAUGCUGCCGGAGUCUCCCUGUCGUUCUUACGACCUUGUUACAGCAUCGUGAUCUUUUCUUGAUUCAGAACCUGUGCAGCUGCAAUGUAGGGAAACAAGCUCCUGGCACUGGUUGCAGCAGAAAGUGGAAAAUCUUGGAGACACCGGCGAAAGCAGAAGUCCAUCCAGUCGUUUCUGCCUUUCGGAUUUUCGGGUGACAUGGUUCCCUUUAGGUGGUAAGUGUUUUUGGUGUCUGGACUCGGUCCUUGGUAGUCCAUAGAAGUAGGAACCGAAGUUAAGAAUGCUUUGUAGCAGCGAUGACCCGUGAGUCUUGGAUCACCAGUGCUCCCAGAUCGCUGUCUCACCGGCUGGUGGCUUCAAUCGCCCGGAGGAGCGCUGUGUGAUCGGCACUUUCCCCGCGCUCCACGGAACACGGGGAAUAAGGCGUGUCGCCGGCAUCGAUUUCCAGUUCAACAAUAGCGUAGCUGCCCGAGACGGCAGGUAGCUCCUCUCUUCGCUGCGUUGACGCUAAAUUUUCUCCCUCCUUGGCUAACGCUGCACACUUUGUGCAGACUUAGUUCGUUUCCCGUGAGACAGCCCCAGCCGAUCCUGAGCCCGUUGUCCGACUUCCAGCUUUCACUUGAGAGGCUAGAGCAUGACGGUGGAGAAGCAACGCUUUGUGUGGAUCAACAGUUCCGUGGUAUCUCGUUCCACCGUAUGUGGACAUUUGGGAAGUUGCUUGUGCACCUGCUUCCCUAACGUCAGAUCGUAAGACUGCCAUCCGAUGAUGGAGUUCCAUGUCGAGCAGUAUACACUUCGAAACGGCUGUGCAACC
rnacentral:lncRNA from 1 species